UUAGCGGCGGACGGGUGAGUAACACGUGGAUAACCUACCUAUAAGACUGGGAUAACUUCGGGAAACCGGAGCUAAUACCGGAUAAUAUAUUGAACCGCAUGGUUCAAUAGUGAAAGACGGUUUUGCUGUCACUUAUAGAUGGAUCCGCGCCGCAUUAGCUAGUUGGUAAGGUAACGGCUUACCAAGGCAACGAUGCGUAGCCGACCUGAGAGGGUGAUCGGCCACACUGGAACUGAGACACGGUCCAGACUCCUACGGGAGGCAGCAGUAGGGAAUCUUCCGCAAUGGGCGAAAGCCUGACGGAGCAACGCCGCGUGAGUGAUGAAGGUCUUCGGAUCGUAAAACUCUGUUAUUAGGGAAGAACAAAUGUGUAAGUAACUAUGCACGUCUUGACGGUACCUAAUCAGAAAGCCACGGCUAACUACGUGCCAGCAGCCGCGGUAAUACGUAGGUGGCAAGCGUUAUCCGGAAUUAUUGGGCGUAAAGCGCGCGUAGGCGGUUUUUUAAGUCUGAUGUGAAAGCCCACGGCUCAACCGUGGAGGGUCAUUGGAAACUGGAAAACUUGAGUGCAGAAGAGGAAAGUGGAAUUCCAUGUGUAGCGGUGAA
rnacentral:rRNA from 1 species